UGUGUAUGUAUGUGUGUGUGUAUGUAUGUAUGUGUCUCUGUAUGUGUGUGUGUCAGUGUCUCUGUGUGUGUGUGUGUCUGUGUAUGUAUGUAUGUGUGUGUCUCUGUAUGUAUGUGUGUGUGUCUCUGUAUGUGUGUGUGUGUGCGCAUGUAUAUUGUAUGUAUAUUCUGUUUGUUGUGAGGGCGAAGGGUACUCACUAAGGUGUAUGAGAAUCUCUUGGUUUAUUUCAGUACAUGUGUGUCCCACUGGCAAUACUGUAUUUCUCUGUAUUUCUGUAUAGCACUGUAUAUUUUAUAUACAAU